rnacentral:rRNA from 1 species
GACGAACGCUGGCGGCGUGCCUAAUACAUGCAAGUUGAGCGAUGAAGAUUGGUGCUUGCACCAAUUUGAAGAGCAGCGAACGGGUGAGUAACGCGUGGGGAAUCUGCCUUUGAGCGGGGGACAACAUUUGGAAACGAAUGCUAAUACCGCAUAACAACUUUAAACAUAAGUUUUAAGUUUGAAAGAUGCAAUUGCAUCACUCAAAGAUGAUCCCGCGUUGUAUUAGCUAGUUGGUGAGGUAAAGGCUCACCAAGGCGAUGAUACAUAGCCGACCUGAGAGGGUGAGAGGCCACAUUGGGACUGAGACACGGCCCAAACUCCUACGGGAGGCAGCAGUAGGGAAUCUUCGGCAAUGGACGAAAGUCUGACCGAGCAACGCCGCGUGAGGGAAGAAGGUUUUCGGAUCGUAAAACUCUGUUGGUAGAGAAGAAAGUUGGUGAGAGUGGAAAGCUCAUCAAGUGACGGUAACUACCCAGAAAGGGACGGCUAACUACGUG